rnacentral:misc_RNA from 1 species
AAGGAUUUCAAGAAUUUAAAGAAAGAAUAGAGAAAAGAAACCUUUAUAGUGCAGAAAUCGAAAAUAGAGAGAUUGAGAAGAAUUCGAUUGAGGGACAAGGAAUAAGGUAGCUCUUAAAAUGGGGAAAAAAUCUAUUUUUUAAAAAUAUUUUUUGAAUUUAGGAAAAGUCUGGUUCUCGAAAAAAAAAGAAAUUAGAGACAAGGUGGAGGAAGAACAAAAUUUCAAGAAUUUCAAGA